GGGGCUGUGGCGGAAUUGGUAGACGCAGGGGACUCAAAAUCCCCCGGAGUUAAAUCCUUGAGAGUUCAAGUCUCUCCAGCCCUACCA
rnacentral:tRNA from 2 species